rnacentral:rRNA from 1 species
CGUGUAGGCGGCCGAUUAAGUCUGGAGUGAAAGUCCUGCUUUCAAGGUGGGAACUGCUUUGGAGACUGGUUGGCUUGAGUGCGGAAGAGGUAAGUGGAAUUCCCAGUGUAGCGGUGAAAUGCGUAGAGAUUGGGAAGAACACCAGUGGCGAAGGCGACUUACUGGGCCGUAACUGACGCUGAGGCGCGAAAGCGUGGGGAGCGAACA